rnacentral:lncRNA from 1 species
UUGGUAAGGUUUUCUGUCCACUCAUUUUACUUUAUCUUCUGCAUAAUCUGUAGAUUUACACUGAUACUGUUGUAAGUAGUAUAUAUUAUUGCCAAGUUUAUGGGUUUAUUUCAUUUUUGUGGCUUAAUCUGCAUUGAACAUGUGUUUACUGCUUUUAUAUGAUGAAUUGCUACUAGUAAUUGGUUAUAUGUUUAACAGCUAGAUUCAUUAUUGGAUGAAUUUCGAGCUUGUUUGAUGAAUAAAUGUUUGAAAGAUUGUUUCAAGACUCGUCGAUUUUGUCUCCUGAACCUUGUGUUAAAGUAGCAUGACUAAUAAAUUCCAUCAAAAAUAAAGUUUAUUUUCUAUUUUGUCGAGUCUAACGUAGCAAGCGUGCCGUUAAAAGUUCCCAAAAAAUAUUGAAUAUUGGAGCAAGUUUCAUAUAUGUGACUUUGAAGUUGUAUAAAUUCUUUGCUGAUUUGUAUUGAACAUGUUUUUGCUGCUUCUAGUUCUGUAUAUAUGAUGAAUUGCUGCUUGUAAUUGGUUACAUUUUCAAGGGCUAGAUGUAUUAUUGGAGACAUAUGAGAAGUUUAGCUUGUUUGGUGAAUAAAUGUUGGAAAGAGUGUAAUGAAAUUUCUUGUGAAGUGACCAUAGAGUUUGCUUCACUCUUAUGUGCAAUUAUGUGUUCUAAACCUUUUUGUUGAAGAAGUGUAGAAACUAGAUAGGGUUAAAGGAAGAACACGUUUGAUGAGUCGAAGACUAGAUGUUGAAACUAAUAAAUAACAACUGAUAAAUCUCGUCAAAUGUGAUCUGUAAUUCUUAUUUUGUUCAGUCUAACGUACCAAGCAUGUCCUUUAAUGAAACAAGCCAUCUACGUAGUUUUAAUUGAAAAAGAAAAACUGCCGACGUCGACCUACUCAAUACACAUUUUAUUGGUCAUUCUCUUGAUGGAUGACUGAAGCAACUUACUAUGUCUAUGCCUGAAGCAACUAGUAAGUUUUUCUAACUGAGUCAACAUAUUUAAAAGAUUUCUCAAAAUGUGAGAGAAAUGUUCAUGUGUGACAUAAAAAUUGGAGAAAUAUAUGUCAAUAGCUCCAACAAAGACAGAAUUCUUCCUUAAGGAAACAAUUUCAAGUUCUAUAGAACACACAAAUGCAAAAUUCUCUAGCAUACACAAUAUUUGAAAGAAUUGUGUUACAGAUACAGCUUAUUUUACAACAUUGUUGACAGCCUUCUUACAUGAGAGAGUGGGGCCGUGUUUAAAAUAAUCGUGAGUCUCACAUUGUGUGAAAGAGCUGUCAAAUAAAGUAUACAGAAUAUGUUGUACACUUGUCAUUUUUCUAUUUGAAAUGUUUAAGCCUAGCUAGUUGCAAAGCUAGAGCUUUCUGUAAUGCCAAAGCGUUGAUCAUACAUAAAGUUUUUAAUCUGAAAGUGCAAUCGAAUUCUCUUAAGUGAGCCUAUUGUAAACAGGCAGGGAUAUUAAAAUCAAAUUUUUUAUAUAUUUUGAUAAAGUCGAUGAAAUGCGUUAUUGAAAAGUUGUGAAUCCCAUUAAAUAAGUGGUUAACAUUAAUUGCUGACAUUCACUUAAAUUAAAAUUUAGUUUUUAAUCCCUACCAAACAUUAAUUUUAAAAUUUGGAAAGACUCUAACUUUACCAAAAGUUAGUUCCAUUUUUUCCCACUUUCUUACUUUAUUACCCCAACUUCUAUAUGAAUUAGACGUUACUUUCACACUCAUAAAUCUUAUUUAAAAAUUUUCUUUUAUAAUCUUGUGUUAAUUUCUCUGUGCAAUAAUCAUGCACAAUUGGCAAGAAUAUUGCUAUUGCCUAUUUUUACAAGUAGCUACCAAAAAAAGUUACUCCAUACCAUACCCAAAAAUUAAUUAUCUUGUUUUUCACAAAUUUUUCCUCCUCUCGAUAAAUUUCCUAUAUUGCAUUUAUAUAUAUAUAUUACUGAUAUAUCCAGCCACAGAAAAAUCCAUUGGUAGGGACAGUAAGAAAUCACCGGUAGCCCAACAGAUGAACACCAGCUGCCAAGUUUGAGUUAAUACAUUCACAAAACUGUGUGUACUGUGUGCUGAUGUGAAUCACACCGACAAAGCCACAAACUAAAACCAGUAAAGUGCAGCUAAUAUAUGAAUUUCAAGACCAGCCUCUUCUUCAUUGGUAAGGUUUUCUGUCCACUCAUUUUACUUUAUCUUCUGCAUAAUCUGUAGAUUUACACUGAUACUGUUGUAAGUAGUAUAUAUUAUUGCCAAGUUUAUGGGUUUAUUUCAUUUUUGUGGCUUAAUCUGCAUUGAACAUGUGUUUACUGCUUUUAUAUGAUGAAUUGCUACUAGUAAUUGGUUAUAUGUUUAACAGCUAGAUUCAUUAUUGGAUGAAUUUCGAGCUUGUUUGAUGAAUAAAUGUUUGAAAGAUUGUUUCAAGACUCGUCGAUUUUGUCUCCUGAACCUUGUGUUAAAGUAGCAUGACUAAUAAAUUCCAUCAAAACUAAAGUUUAUUUUCUAUUUUGUCGAGUCUAACGUAGCAAGCGUGCCGUUAAAAGUUCCCAAAAAAUAUUGAAUAUUGGAGCAAGUUUCAUAUAUGUGACUUUGAAGUUGUAUAAAUUCUUUGCUGAUUUGUAUUGAACAUGUUUUUGCUGCUUCUAGUUCUGUAUAUAUGAUGAAUUGCUGCUUGUAAUUGGUUACAUUUUCAAGGGCUAGAUGUAUUAUUGGAGACAUAUGAGAAGUUUAGCUUGUUUGGUGAAUAAAUGUUGGAAAGAGUGUAAUGAAAUUUCUUGUGAAGUGACCAUAGAGUUUGCUUCACUCUUAUGUGCAAUUAUGUGUUCUAAACCUUUUUGUUGAAGAAGUGUAGAAACUAGAUAGGGUUAAAGGAAGAACACGUUUGAUGAGUCGAAGACUAGAUGUUGAAACUAAUAAAUAACAACUGAUAAAUCUCGUCAAAUGUGAUCUGUAAUUCUUAUUUUGUUCAGUCUAACGUACCAAGCAUGUCCUUAAAGUUUAUUUCUCUUAUUUGCCUGAGUUGAAAUAGAUG